AGUCUCCUCCUCCAUCUCCAUGCUCUUCCUGCCUCGGAGUCGGAGACCCUUUACAAUAAUUACUUACUUGGAGCAUCUCUAGCAGACCCUUGACAACCGGGCCUGGAUCUGGAUCCGGAUCCAUCUCUUCUCCCCUCCCCCGCGCCGGAUCGCGCAUCGGCUUGGAGGCCCCUCGGGGCUGCCGCCGGUGCGGGAGGCGUCCGCGGCCGUGCGAGCUGGGAACAGAGCGGCGGGUUUCGAUCGAGGGCUUUCUCGGGCCGGCGCGGGAUCUGAGCCGCCGUCCAUGGAUUUCUCGCAGCUUGGGUUUGGUACUAUCCCCACCUCUCUCUCUCUCCCUCCCUCGGCGUUGACGCGCGCGCACCUAAACCGGAUCAGGCGAGCGCUCGUUGCCUGAUCGCUCAACCAUCGUCCCUGGUCGGCUGACGCCAGGUAUGAGCAGCUCCUGAGCCUGGUCGCUCGAUGCGUGCACGCACGCAUGUAUGCAUAUAUAUACUCCCUCUGUAAAGAAAUAUCAUGGUCAUGUUGCUUGGUGUGGAAUUGUGGCUGAAACAAUCAUGUCUUGGGCAAUCAAGACAGCCGUGGUGGUGGGUACUAAAUAAGAGCGUCUACGACCGGACUUAUUGACCCAUCAUUUGUACCGCCCUCUCAGUUCCCCGUCAGCUACGGUGCCGCCAGCCAUCGACAUUCCAUUGCCUGGGAUCCGGUUGUGGCGUGGGCUGGGAGCCGUACGGUGUUGUUGUCUGAUGUGUGCUGGAGGGUUUGGUCGGUCGAGGCCAGGUAUGAGCAGCUCCUGAGACUGAUGGAUGGAUGAUGUAUGCAUGCAUGAUACUAUGGUCAUGCUGGGACCGGAUUCACUGUUUUGACCCUAUUUGGAGAAGUUCAGCACAAAAUGAACCAUGUUGGAAGCUUAUCUGGGGCGAUGAUGAUGAAACAUGGCUGACAUAAACUUGUCUUCGGGCACCAAAAACACACUCCCCCUUCUUUUGAAACCUUUUCAUUCUCACAGAAUAUUGACGGCUCUGUCUUGGAUGGUCAUUCUGUUGAGUGAUAACCAGAGGAGCUCGACUACAAUUUUGGGGGCUGAUCUGGUGAAAGAAGAUGGUGGAGCUAGGUUGUAUGAUCUAUCAAAGGCGAAUCUGAGCCCUCUCAAAUCUCAAUGCAACUAAUAUUGUGGCCUCUACACUUUUAUUUACUUCUAUCACCUCUUUAUGUUUAAAAGUGAUGAAUUGUCGUGGUUGUGGCAUUUGCUAUCUCAUUAGGAGCAGCUGCUCACAAAUCACCUCUCGUGGUGUUUGGUUUGCUUUCUCAUGAUUUUGUUUUCCAUGGUGGGAACCACUUCGGUGCAUUCGGGCUUUUUCUUUUCGGUUUUACUUUUCCUUGAAUGGUUGUGAUAAUUCUACUGUCCCUUGGAUAGCUUUUGAGAUUAUCUUAUUGGGUUGGGGGUCAGUUUGCUUGUUUGAAUUGCUAUUUGGCUUUUGAUAUUGUCAUCCUUCUAUACGCUUUAUGUACUUAUUAUCAGUUUGCACUUUUGGCACUCCCCACUUCUUUACUGGUUUCAACUUAAGGGUCGAUGGAUUUUGGCAGCUUGGCUGCAUGUUGCUUCGGAUUCGGUACUGUCACCAUCUUCCUCUGCCCCCCCCCCCCCCCCCCCCCCCCCNNNNNNNNNNNNNNNNNNNNNNNNNNNNNNNNNNNNNNNNNNNNNNNNNNNNNNNNNNNNNNNNNNNNNNNNNNNNNNNNNNNNNNNNNNNNNNNNNNNNNNNNNNNNNNNNNNNNNNNNNNNNNNNNCCGAAACCCUGAACCGAAUCAUCAGAGCUCUUGUUGCCGCAUCACCGACCCAUCGUCCGGGUGGGUGCCGCGUCAGUCCCUCAGGCUCUACGGUGCCGCCAAUCCAUUGGCUUGGAUUCAGUUGUGCCAUGGGCUGGGAACCGUACAGUGAUGUCUGAUCGGUCGUCCGUGCGGGAGGUUUGGUCGGUCGAGGCCAGGUAUGAGUAGCUCUUGAGCAGGAUGGAUGCAGAGGGCGAUGAUGAUGAUGACGACGAGUGUGGCUGAAAUAAAGGUGUCUAGACAACCUAUAGCCAGCAGUCGGCUAUACUAUUAACCAUGCUCUAAAUAGAAUCGGUGAACGCAUUAGAGUUGCUCUUAGAGCCCACCCUUACUUCUCUUGCAGCCUGUUCAAUUCAUCGCUGAUGCUGGAUGUUCUGUGGCUCGGACGGUCAUCCUGAUGAGUGAUAACCAGGGCAGUUCUCCUCUACACUGAUGGGUAGAUUUUGCAGCAAGAGAUGUGGUUGGGUUUCAAGAUGAAAUGCAAAACUGAGCCAUCUUCUUUUGCUUAUCCUCUCUCUCUCAAACCCUAAACCAAAUCAGUUGAGUUCUCAUUGCCGACUCGUUGACCAAUCGUCUGUGUGGUUGGUGUGUCAGUUCCACACCGCUACGGCGCCGCCACCGCUAUCCCAUUGGCUUCGAUUCGGGUGCGGCGUGGGCUGGGAACCGUACGGUGUUGUCUGAUGCGUCGUCUGAGCAGGAGGGUUGGUCUGUCGAGGCCAGGUAUGAGCAGCUCCUGAGAUGGUGGACGGAUGGAUGUAUGCAUGCAUGUAUGUAUGUAUAUCAUGGUCAUGUUGCUUGUGGUUCGGUGUCCUUUUUGGAAAAAACUGAGGGGCGAUGAUGAUGCCUGUGGCUGAAAUAAUUAUGUCUUGAGCAAUCAGGACAUCUGUGGUGCGUGGGUACUAAAUAGGGCCUGAACGGGUGCUUGCGUUGGAGAUGCCCUUAAGGGCCCUCCCUUGGCUCUCUUGCAGCCUGUUCAAUUCAUUACCAAUUUUGGAUGUUCUGCGCCGCGGACGGUCAUUCUGUUGAGUGAUAACCAGAUCAGUUCUCUUGCAUCAAGAUGGGUAGAUUAUGCAGCAAGAGAUGCGGAGUGUUGGGCUUCAAGAUGAAACACAAAACUGAGCCCUCUUUUGAUAUGCUACAAAUACUAAAGUAGUGAUCUAAACGCUCUUAUAUUUCUUUACGGAGGGAGUAUUUGUGAACAUAGGGAGUAUCUAUCUAUCAGGGGCGAUGAUGAUCAAACAUGGCUGAUAUAAACCUGUCUUCGAUUAUUCAAGAAGCUGUGGGUAUCAAAAACCAUCUCUCCCCUCUUUUGGGACCUUUUCAUUCUCACCAAAUAUUGAUGGCUCUGUCUUGGAUGGUCAUUCUGUUAAGUAAUAACCAGCAGAGCUUGACUUCAAUGUUGGGGGUUGAUCUGGUGAAAGAAGAUGGGGCUAGUGUGAUCUAUCAAAGGCGAAUCUGAGCCCUCCUACAUCCGAUUCAUAAAAAAGUUGGAACAUCUUAUAUUUGUGAACUGAGGGGAGUAUCUAUCUAUCUAUCUAUCUAUGAGGGGCAAUGAUGAUCAAACAUGGCUGACAUAAACCUGUCUUUGAUUAUUUGAGGAGCUUUGGGUAUAAAAAACCCUCUCUCCCCUCUUUUGGGACCUUUUCAUUCUCAACGAAUAUUGACGGCUCUGUCUUGGAGGGUCAUUCUGUUGAGUGAUAACCAGCAGAGCUUGACUUCAAUGGUGGGGAAUGAUCUGAUGAAAGAAGAUGGUGGGGAUAGUAUGAUCUAUCAAAGGCAAAUCUGAGCCCUCCUACAUCCGGUUCAUAAAAAAGUUAGAACAUCUUAUAUUUGUAAAUAGAGGGAGUAUCUAUCUAUCUAUCUAUCAGGGGCGAUGACGAUCAAACAUGGCUGACAUAAACCUGUUUUUGAUUAUUUAAGGAGCUGUCGGUAUCAAACACCUGCUCUCCUCCCCUCUUUUGGGACCUUUUCACUCUCACCGAAUAUUGACGGCUGUCUUGGAUGGUCAUUCUGUUGAGUGAUAACCAGCAGAGCUUGACUUCAAUGGUGGGGGAUGAUCUGGUGAAAGAAGAUGGUGGGGCUAGUAUGAUCUAUCAAAGGCGAAUCUGAGCCCUCUCAAUGCAACUUAUAUUGUGCGUAAAAAGUUAGUAUGUUUAAUAAAGGUAAUAAAUUGUUGUGGUGUUUGGUUUGCCUUCUCAUGAUUUUGUGGUUCAUGGAGGGAACCAGUUUGGUGCUUUCAGGCUUUGCUCAAGCUCGUCUCGUUGUGGUGGUCCUUGUACCGGUAGUGUUUGAAUGUGUUUACUCCCUUCUUUUCGUGGGGUUAAAUGUGUGAAGCAUGGUCAGCAAAUGUUUGCCCUCUUUUCCUGUCUAUGCAUGUCCUCUUUUUCGUCCCCUUAUUUUUUUACUGGUUCUUAUGGCAGUGAUGUAAAUUCAAGUCGGCAAGUUGUCAACAUUUUUUCUACUGUUUUAGCAUAGCACAGCAACUGCUAAUUGGCCUUUAAGAAUACAAUUUGGCCGGUUUGCUUUUUGCUGAUGACCAUUCUAAUGCUUAUACAAGCCAAUGCGUGGAAAACCACAAAAAUCUUGUGUUGCGAAAAUACCACUUCUAUCUUUUCCUUUUUGAGAAUUUGUCUUUCUUGCCAAGCUUGUAUCCAUGUAUACAUAAAAGAUAUGUUGAGAGUUUGGUUUUGGUUUUAGUUCUUUUGGUAUGCAAAGGACUGUUUUGCAAGUUAACGUUUUGGAUGCCGCCUGUGCGGGAGGCGUCCGCGGCGGCGCGGGCUGGGGAACGAGCGGCGGGGCCCAUGCUGCGCUCCGGUCGAGGGCUUGGUCGGGCCGGCGCGGGAUCUGAGCUGCCGUCGAUGGAUUUCUGGCAGCUUGGCUGCAUGUAGCUUUGGAUUCG
rnacentral:lncRNA from 1 species